AUUGAACGCUGGCGGCAGGCCUAACACAUGCAAGUCGAGCGGAUGAAGGGAGCUUGCUCCUGGAUUCAGCGGCGGACGGGCGAGUAAUUCCUAGGAAUCUGCCUUGUAGUGGGGGAUAAGGUCCGGAAACGGGCGCUAAUACCGCAUACGUCCUGAGGUAGAAAGUGAGGGAUCUUCGGACCUCACGCUAUCAGAUGAGCCUAGGUCGGAUUAGCUAGUUGGUGGGGUAAAGGCCUACCAAGGCGACGAUCCGUAACUGGUCUGAGAGGAUGAUCAGUCACACUGGAACUGAGACACGGUCCAGACUCCUACGGGAGGCAGCAGUGGGGAAUAUUGCGCAAAGGGCGAAAGCCUGAUCCAGCCAUGCCGCGUGUGUGAAGAAGGUCUUCGGAUUGUAAAGCACUUUAAGUUGGGAGGAAGGGCAGUGAGUUAAUACCUUGCUGUUUUGACGUUACCAAAAGAAUAAGCACCGGCUAACUUCGUG
rnacentral:rRNA from 1 species